rnacentral:rRNA from 1 species
UCAGGAUGAACGCUAGCUACAGGCUUAACACAUGCAAGUCGAGGGGCAGCGCAGUGUAGCAAUACAUGGGCGGCGACCGGCGCACGGGGUGCGUAACGCGUAUCCAACCUUCCCGUUACUCAGGGAUAGCCUUCCGAAAGGGAGAUUAAUACCUGAUGGUGUUUGAAUUCCGCAUGUUAUUCAAACUAAAGAUUCAUCGGUAACGGAUGGGGGAUGCGUGACAUUAGAUAGUAGGCGGGGUAACGGCCCACCUAGUCUACGAUGUCUAGGGGUUCUGAGAGGAAGGUCCCCCACACUGGAACUGAGACACGGUCCAGACUCCUACGGGAGGCAGCAGUGAGGAAUAUUGGUCAAUGGUCGGAAGACUGAACCAGCCAAGUAGCGUGAAGGAUGAAGGUUCUAUGGAUUGUAAACUUCUUUUAUACGGGAAUAAAACCUCCCACGUGUGGGAGCUUGUAUGUACCGUAUGAAUAAGCAUCGGCUAACUCCGUG